rnacentral:rRNA from 1 species
GACGAACGCUGGCGGCGUGCUUAAUACAUGCAAGUCGAACGGAAAGGCCCUGCUUUUGUGGGGUGCUCGAGUGGCGAACGGGUGAGUAACACGUGAGUAACCUGCCCUUGACUUUGGGAUAACUUCAGGAAACUGGGGCUAAUACCGGAUAGGAGCUCCUGCUGCAUGGUGGGGGUUGGAAAGUUUCGGCGGUUGGGGAUGGACUCGCGGCUUAUCAGCUUGCUGGUGGGGUAGUGGCUUACCAAGGCUUUGACGGGUAGCCGGCCUGAGAGGGUGACCGGCCACAUUGGGACUGAGGUACGGCCCAGACGCCUACGGGAGGCAGCAGUGGGGAAUAUUGCGCAAUAGGCGGGAGCCUGAUGCAACAGCGCCGGGUGCGGAAUGACGUCCUUCGAGGUAUAAACCGAUUUCGCCUGAGACGAGGCGUGAGUGACGGUAAUGGGUAAAGAAGCACCGGCUAACUACGUG